rnacentral:rRNA from 1 species
ACGCAAGUCAUUGGGUGAUACAAAACCCAAAGGCGUAAUGAAAGUAAAGAGUAGAAAGAUAGAAGAAGAAAAUUCAUUUUCAUCUUUGAUUCUCUCUCUCAAGGGAAGAUGGAUAUCAUAUUUUAAAUAUUAUUUGGUAUUUAUAUUAAGUAUAUUUUAAAAUUUAGAUUCCCGCAUUCCCAGGGCGCUUGUUUCUCGCUCUGCGAGUUUAUGCGCACCUAGAGCGUACACGAUGAUACCCGAAAGAUGGUGAACUAUGCCUGGCCAGGACGAAGCCAGGGGAAACCCUGGUGGAGGUCCGCAGCGAUUCUGACGUGCAAAUCGAUCGUCAGAGCUGGGUAUAGGGGCGAAAGACCAAUCGAACCAUCUAGUAGCUGGUUCCCUCUGAAGUUUCCCUCAGGAUAGCUUGCGCUCGGUUGAGAAGAGUCUCAUCCGGUAGAGCGAAUGAUUAGAGGCAUUGGGGUCGAAACGACCUCAACCUAUUCUCAAACUCCAAAUAGAUGAGACCCCCGGCUUUCUUAAAAUUGAAGCCGUGGGAUUAGGAUCAGAGUGCC